GAUUAUUUUGCAAUGUUACAGGAAAUAUUCUUCGUUCAUUCAGCUGGCAUCAGCAGGAAAUCCAAGCAUAUUAAUGAAUAAUUAAUGGAAAUGAAGCAGUUGGAACAGAUGAAUGUUUGGCAAUAAACUAUUAAAGAAACCUGGGAUCAACAGGAAUUAAAGUAAAAAGCAGAAUACCAACCCAAGAACCUGCACAAUGGCAGAGUUUCCUGGAGAAUCUGCUCCAUGAUGUUGCUGGUCACAGAGUUGAGACUGACUGGAGUGUUCCUCAGGCCUUCCUUUUUCCUCUUCUAAGAGCAAGGGUUAUUGUUGUAGUGCGUUUUUAUACUUUGUAAUACUUUGAAGUAGUUUUGUUUUGUAUUCCCAUAUUUUUCCCAAAUGGUUUAUCCCAGACUGUACUCCCCUCCCUUUACCUGUGUUAUCCCUCUCCCGGGAUGAGAUCAUCCCCAAACCCCCACCCUGGCUCUCUGUCAAUCACUCAGCAUCCCAU